UAGAGUUUGAUCAUGGCUCAGAUUGAACGCUGGCGGCAGGCUUAACACAUGCAAGUCGAGCGGUACAGAAAUAGCUUGCUAUUUGCUGACGAGCGGCGGACGGGUGAGUAAUGCUUGGGAAUAUGCCUUAUGGUGGGGGACAACAGUUGGAAACGACUGCUAAUACCGCAUAAUGUCUACGGACCAAAGGGGGGGAUCUUCGGACCUCUCGCCAUUUGAUUAGCCCAAGUGAGAUUAGCUAGUUGGUAAGGUAAUGGCUUACCAAGGCGACGAUCUCUAGCUGGUUUGAGAGGAUGAUCAGCCACACUGGGACUGAGACACGGCCCAGACUCCUACGGGAGGCAGCAGUGGGGAAUAUUGCACAAUGGGGGAAACCCUGAUGCAGCCAUGCCGCGUGUGUGAAGAAGGCCUUCGGGUUGUAAAGCACUUUCAGUUGUGAGGAAAGGUGUGUAGUUAAUAGCUGCAUACUGUGACGUUAACAACAGAAGAAGCACCGGCUAACUUCGUGCCAGCAGCCGCGGUAAUACGAGGGGUGCAAGCGUUAAUCGGAAUUACUGGGCGUAAAGCGUUCGUAGGCGGUUGAAUAAGCAAGAUGUGAAAGCCCAGGGCUCAACCUUGGAACUGCAUUUUGAACUGUUCGACUAGAGUACUGUAGAGGGGGGUAGAAUUUCA
rnacentral:rRNA from 1 species